GUUGCUUCAUAAUGGUGAACUAUCUCGAAUAUUAAUGAGAUUUGUUCAAGUUUCCCGAAGCAUAUAUGAAUUGUUUUAUAAAUAAGCCAGUUUUUAACAGCGUGGUGAUUUAUUUUCCAUUGCAUCGCGUUACCUGUCUACUGGUAUAUUU
rfam:Daucus carota subsp. sativus cultivar DH1 chromosome 8, whole genome shotgun sequence.